rnacentral:rRNA from 1 species
GGCGAAAGGGAGAGUAACGCGUGGAUAUCUGCCCCCUGGUCCGGGAUAGCUGCGGGAAACUGCCGGUAAUACCGGAUAACAUCUCCGGAUCAAAGGUGUGAUUCCGCCGGGGGAUGAGUCCGCGUCCUAUUAGCUUGUUGGUGGGGUAAAGGCCUACCAAGGCUGAGAUGGGUACCGGGUGUGAGAGCAUGGCCCGGCUCACUGGGACUGAGACACUGCCCAGACACCUACGGGUGGCUGCAGUCGAGAAUCUUCGGCAAUGGGCGCAAGCCUGACCGAGCGACGCCGCGUGCGGGAUGAAGGCCCUCGGGUUGUAAACCGCUGUCAGAGGGGAGGAAAUGCAUAGGGGUUCUCUCCUAUGUUCGACCUAUCCUCAGAGGAAGUACGGGCUAAGUUCGUGCCAGCAGCCGCGGUAAUACGAACCGUACGAACGUUAUUCGGAAUCACUGGGCUUAAAGAGUGCGUAGGCGGCUUGGCAAGUUGGGUGUGAAAUCCCUCGGCUCAACCGAGGAACUGCGCUCAAAACUGCCUGGCUUGA